rnacentral:misc_RNA from 1 species
AAAAUAUGUGCUCUAUCCAGCUUGUACCCAUCAGUUUUCUCUUUGGCAAGCUCAGCCUCCUGGGGAGUGCCGUACUCAAUAAAGCAGUAACCUAAAGUUUUCUGUGUAGUAGGAUCAACAGGCAUCCAUAGACCAUCAUCCUUAAUGACCCCAAUCUGUCCAAAAAUUUUACGAACAACACCUUCGAGCUUCUCAAACUUCUCCGGAGGAACAACCGGAAGAUUGUCAACAACUAUAAUGUUUCCGAACCCAGAAUCAAACUCUAGACUCUCCUCUUGUAGAACUUCUUCAUCAUCACUAAUAAUUCCGAAAUCGUCACCAGGAGGUAGACGAAUGGCGUCAAAAUCAACUUGGGAGAGAUCUAUCCCAAGCCGACCAGCCGUAUCCUCAAUCUCCUUCAUCAGCAUCACGUCCGCCAUGACGAACGAACUAGCUCUGUCGGCGGCAAGAGUCAGGUGAGCGGUAGAUCUUUCAAAUUAUGAGAAGAACAGAGAGAUGCCAGCGUUGGAGAUAGCAGAAAAUCGGCGAGGCCGAGAGGGAAGGCUGGGGUACUCCGGCAGCUGAGUGCGCCGGCAGCCGGUGAGACAGCGUCGGGGCAGGAACGGCGUGUCGGGGUUCAGUUGGGUGGUAAUGGGAGGGAGGGGAUGCCUGGACCUUGAGUGACAAUGGUUCACGACACCCUUGAGCGGUUGAGGAUAGAGG